GACCUGCUGUGCUGCCUGGGCAGCAAGCGGCCUCCGGAGCCGUGUGCGCAGGUUCGAAUCCUGCCGGGGGCA
rnacentral:tRNA from 1 species